UGUGUGUGUGUGUGUGUGUGUGUGUGUGUGUGUGUGUGUGUGUGUGUGUGUGUGUGUGUGUGUGUGUGUGUGUGUGUGUGUGUGUGUGUGUGUGUGUGUUACGUUUUAAUCUUUGCCGUAGGCUUGUCUUAUAUGGCCAAUCUGUUUCAAUUUGAUGUGAUGACACGCCGAGUUCUUGCAGUUUUACCCAUGUUUACAAUUUUUAACCGGUGUAUUGUCAGCAAUGACCGAAACCGGUGAAGCCUUCAAUAAAUGUGAUUCAGCGAUGCAUGGGUUAAUGCAGUUUUGCGCAAGUUUAAAAUGUUUCCUAGUAAUUUGUCAGCUGCGAUCACUACCUUUAAUUAAUUCCACCUUUAUGUCAUAAAUAUAACAUGCCAUUGAUUAAUGUUUUUAUGGUGCAUCUUGGCUAUUUUAUGUUCAAUCAAAUUGGCUUUGCCUGCCGCAUUUGAACAUUUCUGGCUACGCCACUGCCAAGAGGAAAACCUAUACCUUCAAGAUAUCUGACAAAAGCCUGCUGUGACACAGCUGACUCGCUGACUCAUGGGAUGUAGCCGGGCUCUGACUAGACGACGGCGUAUCGACCUCCAUGACAAACGUCGAUUAGACUUGUGAUCGACGACGAAAUGUUUGCUGGGACUCGACUCCUCCCAGACACACUAGUCGCUGAGUCGCUGAGUCUCUGUUUGUUCACUGAUGGGAGUGGUGAAGAGGGUAGAGGCUUAGUGAGCGAGUGUAGGCCUAUGAUAACACGAUUCAAUAUCAGUGAAAUGGUAAAUGCAUGCUGUCUUUGUAUUUUCGGUGUCAUGCCAGAUUAAUAUAAUAUUGAAUGUCUCG